AGGGUAGGGUGGAGAUAAAUCUUUAGCAUAUAAAAGGACCCAGAUCCUCUGCAGUACACGAUUUGCACCGCAUAGUGUCGUAUCACAAUAAGUGGCUGCUAUUAGAAGAUGAACAAUUAUCAAUAGCAACACAUCAUGUAUGGCAUGUAAAAUCAUCUUGUAUGAUAGUGAUCUAUCUUCUGAUAGCAGCCAUUGGGUGCAGUAUAACAAUCUACGGUGCAAUCCAUACACUAUAGAGAAUUCGUGCUAGUCUAUGGCUUACGAUAGAGACAACAACCCUUUAGUCCAUGUAAAAUGAAACUAAAAUCUCUCUCUCUAGUCAAACACAUAUGUAGUACAAAAAUUCUGAAUGGCCAAAUUCAAGAAUACUGCAUGCGUAUAAUUGAAUGGUCAAAUUCAACAUGUUGAAUUACUUUUUAUAAGACUAGAAGGAUUUGUUUUGAAUCAAAUUGUACGAUCCUAUAGUGUCCAUAUUAGCAAGUCCUAGUCUACUUAUCUCAAUUGCAUUCCUAACUUAGAAGAAGGUAUAAUAAGCUUAAGAAUUGAUCAACAUUUUUUGACAUGUUCUAAAAUUUUUCCUAGAAAAGAUCUAGAUCUCAAAUCAGUCAUAUUUUGACCCCAUUAGAUUCAACUAUAGCCAACAUAUAAAGCUAUCUUACACAUAUUCUUCCACAGACUUUUCAAAUAGAUAUUGGAAUACUCAUCCAAAACGCCCAUUGGUGCAUCUAUCCAUGACAGGGAAGUAUUUAUUUCCGUCACACAUACAUGAAUGGGACCAAUCUGAAGG
rnacentral:lncRNA from 1 species